rnacentral:rRNA from 1 species
UACGGGGGGGCAAGCGUUGUUCGGAAUUACUGGGCGUAAAGGGCGCGUAGGCGGUUCGAUCAGUCAGCUGUGAAAACCAUGGGCUUAACUCAUGGCCUGCAGUUGAGACUGUCGGGCUGGAGUGUGGGAGAGGAGAGUGGAAUUCCUGGUGUAGCGGUGAAAUGCGUAGAUAUCAGGAGGAACACCGGUGGCGAAGGCGGUUCUCUGGGCAUUACCUGACGCUGAGGAGCGAAAGCGUGGGGAGCGAACAGG